UAGGGAAUAUUGCAAAAUCGGCGAAAGCCCGAUGCAGCAACGCCGCGUGGGCGAUGAAGGCCUUCGGGUCGUAAAGCCCUUUUUGAGGGGAUGAGGAAGGACAGUACCCUCAGAAUAAGCCUCGGCUAACUACGUGCCAGCAGCCGCGGUAAAACGUAGGAGGCGAGCGUUAUCCGGAUUUACUGGGCGUAAAGCGCGUGCAGGCGGAUUGGAGAGUUGGAUGUGAAAGCUCCCGGCUUAACUGGGAGAGGUCGUUCAAUACUUCCAGUCUUGAGUGCAGUAGAGGGAAGUGGAAUUCCGGGUGUAGUGGUGAAAUGCGUAGAUAUCCAGAGGAACACCAGUGGCGAAAGCGGCUUCCUGGACUGUAACUGACGCUCAGACGCGAAAGCUAGGGUAGCAAAC
rnacentral:rRNA from 1 species